GCCGUAGGGCGCGAGCGUUGUCCGGAAUUACUGGGCGUAAAGCGCACGUAGGCGGAUUGUUAAGUCGGGGGUGAAAUCCUGGAGCUCAACUCCAGAACUGCCUUCGAUACUGGCGAUCUCGAGUUCGGGAGAGGUGAGUGGAACUGCGAGUGUAGAGGUGAAAUUCGUAGAUAUUCGCAAGAACACCAGUGGCGAAGGCGGCUCACUGGCCCGAUACUGACGCUGAGGUGCGAAAGCGUGGGGAGCAAACAGG
rnacentral:rRNA from 1 species